UCUAAUGAUCCAAAAAUGUAUGUAAGUUCACAAUCUAAUUAGAGUAAUUUUCAUUUGCCAGAAGCUGUACUCUUGCAACAUCAUCACAUAUUGUCGAGUAUCUUCACACAUGCCACAUAAUGUACUUGAUCAAGGUGAUUCUCCUGCUUGUGAUGUGUUCACUUUGUGCGGCUAUCUACCCAUGUCAUGGUUGGUACUUUUCUCCGAAAUUUAACAAAGAUAAAGGCUUUGGCAUGAAAGGUCAUAGAUGCAUCUCGUGCGUUCAUUUGUUAAACGGCAAUAAAUUCUACUUUAAAUGUUGGGAUGACCUAAAGUGUGACAAAACCCUCAUAUCUGGCACAUCGUAUAGAACUUUUUGUUAUUAAUUAGCCGUAAACAUGUCUGACAUAUACAAUAAACAAUAUGUCGGAGA